CUCUUUCUUCUUUUGCUAAGUAAAUAGUAAGAGCAUUCCUAAUUGGAAAAGAGAAGCUUCAAAGAAGAUAUUGUUUCUUAUUCAGUACGUUCUCCCACACUUGGGAUAUCAAUGCACUUUUUGGUAAAUCCCCCCUUUUUUAGGAAAAAGGGUGUUCCAGCUGCUAUUUGUGCAUCAUCUCCUGAGCAGCGAGGGGAAAUAGCUUAAAAUGAGAUCUCUGGAGUAACACAGGGAGAAAAACAAACUGAUAACUCCUGACAGAUUGAUGGCUCCUUCCUUCAUCUAAAUCUUUAUAGAUUAGCAUGUCUCUUCUUUCACAGAUAUGUUUGUUUGCACUAUAUCAUCUAACCUAAUCUGUACGGGAAGUAUAUUUAUCCUAGAGCAGUGGAGCAUUUGUACUGCUUCCUUGUCACCAAGAAUAAUGGAGAGGAAAGGCAGCCUUCUCUGUAACAAAUGGCCCUGUGCCCACCAUCGCUUCGUUGCAGCAUCAGGAAGAAACAGAUAGAUGUUGCCAUUUACCUGGGUGGCUGAGAAGCAAUUUCAAGCAAUGGAAGUUUGGGCCCAGUAACGUUCAUCAUGUUGGCUCUAGGAGAGAAAUUAGUCACAGUAACUUAAUACAGAGGCAGCAUCCUGCCCUGGCAUCUGCAGGGUGUGGAUCUCUGUUGUCCGCAGUCGUACCCACCCCAUCCCUUGGGUGCUUACUGGGCUGGGAGAAGCAAAAGUUGGGCCUUUGAAUUGACCUGUGGGCAUCCUGGGACUCAGGUCACGCUUCAGACGAUGUGGAUGAGCAGCACAGAGUCCUCCAGCAGUUGUGUCUCAAGGACAAGCACAGGGCUUCUGAAGAGCAGCACAUCUUUGCAGGGAACGUUGUCCCAUCUCCUGCUAAGCACAGACUGGAAGCAGGGCAGAGCAGGCCUUCCCAGUGGCUGCAGUCCAUGGAAGCUGAGGUGGCACUGCACAGCAUGCAGAGCCUGGGCAGAGCACACACAGCCAAGCAGCUCUUCAGGGAGACACCAACUGAGAUGUGAGGCAGUCCAGCCUUGCAAGGGAUGCGCCUCUCACUUCAGGAGAAUGGAAGGGUAUUAGACAAAAAAUACGAUCUGGGGGACACAUGGGACACAACCCUGAUUUCUUUACAUAUCCUUUUACUUUGAGUGCCAGUGCUACAAUCCCAGCAACGUAGAGAUGCAACAUUACUGUGCUCACCUUGAGGAACAGAGGUGAUCCAAUCCCUAGAUGGAAGUAAUUGUUAUAUUGAAAAGUGACAUUUGGGUGACAUUUUCAAGAUAGCAGAAGAAUAGUAAUAAAGAGAUUUUUAUGGAGUAGCACUGCUUAACCACCCAUUUCCAUGCGCCUUUGAGAAGUGCAGAUGUGUCAUCACCCCCUGACAGAGGCUUGGCAGAGCUGGAAGGACACUGGAUGAUGCCUUCAGCCUCUGAGCCUUAAGUCUCAGCAUAGCAAAACUCAGCAGAUAGUUCAGUACGAGCCCUUAACAAACUUAUGUGGUUCUGGCAAGGAACCGUAGGGCUCACCCUCGGGCUGUGGUGCAGCAUCUUGACCA
ensembl:lncRNA